UUCAUAUAUUGGGUUCUUUUUGUUUCCCCUCAUUCCUAGUUUGCUUUGAUUUCUUCCUUCUUUUAAGCCACAAACGUUGAGACUGGCGGAAACAGCUGGUACACGUCUUACACGUCCUCCCGAGAGACCGGAAACCUCUGUGGGGUUGGCACAAACUGGUUGCUGAGGGAAGCUGGACCUGGCCGGGGAGGCAAACAGAGCCGGGGAGUGGCAUUGGAGGUGCUGCAAGGGAAGGCUGGGUUAAUGGCACUUCCAAACUGGGAUCCAAAGGAAACGGUCAUGGGCCCAGCCUGGGGACACACACAAGAAGCCAGGAGCAGCUUGUUCUUAGACAUACGUUCACCUCAUCUGGACAGGGAGACAGAUGACUUCGUGGGAGAGCAGUUGGAAGAAUGCCCAGAGGCUUGUGAAGAUGAAGAAACUGGGACACUGAAAAGUGACAUGGCUUUGGAAGAUCACACAACUAGUUGGUGGCAGAAGAGCAACAUCUGGCCCUUUCAUCCACUCCAAAACACUUUUUGUUCUCCUGGGAAGUACCAGGCAGGGUGCUUGACCAAACAAGCAACACAUUCUGGCUCACCAGAAGCAUGCAGCACACACGAGAGAAGGGCACAUAAACCCUUGCUUGCCCCAUGUAAUGACUGUUAAGACUAAGUCAAGUACAGGAAGCAUGGAGGAGGGCUUCUUCUGGAAUUCCUAAAAGGAGAUGGAGGUGGUUGAUUCAAGAAGGGUUCUUGGAGGAGAUGAUAGAGUCUCAUGUCUUUGCCCUGCCCUUAGAGAUAUUUCUUGACACCUGAGCUUACACAGGAUACCUGAGAGUUUGUGGGAGCCAGCAGAGAUUUCCUCAUGGACAAGGCCCAGUUCCAAGGUUAGAAAGAAACUCCCUAUCAUCUGACUGUUUUCCACACCAGCAUAGUAGAUGAAAAGUUUGGGAGGGCUCCUUGGUAAAGAGGAAUAGGGAGAGAAAAAAACAGAUCCCAACUCAAAAGUACUUCCAACCUUUUGGUCUUAAGACAGGUGCUAAAAGUUGGCAUCUGGGUGAUACAGAAGUGGGAAGGAGGGGUUAGAGAAUGGUGGGAGGAGGAGAGCACCUUUUGCUUUCUGCUUUAAACCACCUUCCUGGAUCUGAGGUGCUCCUAGCUUCCUCACUGCCAGUCACCCUGGCUUUGACCCCUGCUCCCAACCUUCAGACAUAGUCUCACUUCUCCUUCCCCCUGCCUGGCCUGGGACCUCUGUCCCUGGUGGAACGCAGGUCACUCCACUCAUCUCCAGGAUCCCCUAUGAACUGGUUUCUACAAUGACUGAAAGAGCACAGGUAAUUAAGGACUAGAACUAAGAGAGACAGACCAGUCCUUCCUCCUCCAGCAGUGUGUUCCGGGAGGCAGGUCCUUCCAGUGUGUGUUGGGGGAUGGGUGCUCCAAAGACCUGCUUUAGUCACAUGAUGUGGGGACAAAUACCUACCUUUUACCUUGAGAAAGCUCUAAAUCAGAGCAGUUAUUGACAUGCAGGGUUUCACAUGAGGUACUGAGCAUUCUACAUAAUAAUGUAAAAGUCAGUUUCAAUGUGGAGUGGAUGCAAUUCUUUAUAAAUUACCGUGCUGUUUACCAAUUCAGGGCUCAUCUAUUGUAGCAACCCCUAAACUUCAGUGUGCAUUUUAAUCACCAGGGGUGGGCAACUGAUUACCAAUGCAGAUUCCAGGACCUCACCCCCAGAAUCUUCCAUCUGAUACAUCUGGGGUGGGGCCCAGGUUUCUGUAUUUUUAAUUAAUAGCCGCAGACUGAUGGAUUUCACUUAGAAACCUUUCUGAAAGCUUUCUGAAAAAUAGUCUGUGGGAGCCAGGCAGUGGCUGACUGAGUGGCUGAGGGCUGGCAGUGAGGUAGCUUCCCCAAUAUGCUCUGCAACCUCCUUCCACCCCCAUUCUUCAAGAAGGGCAGUUCAUGUUUCCUCAGUUGAGGGUAAAGACUCAGAAAGUGCAUCUUCAAGAAAAGAGCCGCUAGCCCCCUCCUGUGGCAUGAUCAUGGUCUAAUGGGGCCCAGGACUUGAGAGAGAGGAGAUACAAAGCUGACGUUAAGGAGGAUAAGCACACCCACAUCAGGGUGCUCAAGGGAAAGGUGCAACCCAAAAGGGAGUCCUUGUGAAGCGUCUGCUGAUGGCUGCUAAGACUACUGGCUGGAAUGCAGAUGUGAUGGCUGGGGCUGCAGCAGCCACCUGGAUUGUGACAUGGAAGCCACAGUCUGAGACAGAAGUCAGAAACUUAAAGCACCUGGCUGAUCCUGGACUAACUACCCCAGGCUUUCUUUUACAUGAGAAAUAAAGCUCUA